GUAAGUGGAUAUGCGACACAAAUGCGACAAUGGGUGUGAGAGUGAGGAGGAGGAGCAGGAGGAGAAGGAGGAGGAGGAGCAGGAGGAGGAGCAGGUGGAGGAGAAAAGAGACAGGGGCAGCCUACAUUGACAUUGUGUUACACACACACAUGCAUAAUGUAUCCACUGUACUUCACCUCAUAAGCAUAGAAUUCCCCAGAGACAAAUACUGUGUGCAUGUGCAUUUGUAUACAGUUAUCUGCUGUGUGUAUGAAAGUGCUGGUUGCGCAGUAUUGUCAGAGUCUCCGCGCUCCUGUCUCUCCAUGGCAGGACCUGUGCUUCUACAGGACUGCUGCAUACAUCAGCCAAGCCCUCCCAGUAAUUAAACUAAAAGUCUCCAUCAUAAAUCACAGUGCUUCUUUCCCCUUCUCUCUCUUCCUCCCCUGUUCCCACUACCAUCCCUCUCUUCCUCCCCUGUUCCCCGCACCAUCCACCAUGGAAGGCAGGUUUGUGUAAAUCACUAUCGCCUGGGACUGGGAUAGUAACAGAGGGAAGGCAGCUUCUACAUCCCCACACCAUCCACACACCCUGUCCUGUAUUCACUCCAUUACCAGCCAUUAAACACAGUCUCAACCCUUCCCACUACACCUCUCGCCAGGGUUGAAGAGGGCUCACAAGUCAAAACACAGAUUAAUGGAAGAGCGUUGUGUAUUCAAGCCCCUGAACACCUGGACAAGGACAGACAGAAGCAGGUUUAUCUGUCCAAGUAUUCAAAUGAAUCCUGAAACCAACCUCAUUGGAUAUUUGUUGGACAGCUGCGUCUUGUUCUACAAGGCAAGGUAGAGAUUCAAACCCAACCCGUUUAGAGCGUGUCAGCGGGUCAGAUUCCUUUCAAACAGCUGCUUGUAUAUGUAUCACAACCAGCAACAGCCUGUCUCUCCAGCAGCACCUGGGUCACCCAAUCUCCCUCAGUACUAGACCAGGAGUCACUGUGAACCUCUCACACUCUGGUGCUUGACAGACAGCUGACCACCACUGAUUCCCCUGCUGGUAUCUGGUGUCUGAUAUCUGGUGUCUGACACCAUGGUAUUAGAGUAAAAUCAGCCGAGUCAAACACACGUCUGCCUAGAUUGGAACCUUGCUCCCAUCUUCGCCGCCUUCUCCUCCUCUCUCUCUCUAUCUCUCCCUACUCUCACUCCUCUCCUGAGAGUGACACAUGCGUCUGUCCCGUCUAUAGAUAGUCCAUUAGGGCCUGCUGUGAUAUUCCGGUCCCAUGACUCCCCUCGCUCACAUUCACUUGGUGUCAUUUAACCCCGCAGUGCCAGGAUCAGCCCACUUUCAACCGCUAAAACCUCACACCUGUCUCCUUCAAACCACAGACAUAGUCACAAGUAGUCCAUCAAGCAGUCGUAUCCAUGACAGUGUAAAGAAAUUACUCCUGAUGAGCUGUGAUGCGGGAAAAGUGACGUUAUUGCAGUGGAAGUGUGAAUGCUAGGAUGUUAGAUAAAACAAGAACAAGUAAAGCCAUUGAAAGUAAUUACGUGAAUAAGUUUAAUUUGAUUUAUAAAAUCAAUUCUAAACUGCACGGUUGUCCUUCAGAAUAAGAAAAAAAACAGCAAUAAUGAUAGCUAAUUUGAACAAAUUCACCCACAGUGAAGUAAAUGAAUCCACUAUAAGUGAACUAAAGGCAAAAAAUGAACCAUGCUGGUUUAUAUAUAAUGUUUCUGAUAACCGUCGACCUUGUAGAGAUAUAAAAUACUCCCUCUUCACCACUCUCUUAAGAAUAUAUGGCAGUCAUCCACUGGGGUUCACACAUUACAGCUAUACCCUUUUUGCUAUAACACUAAAGCAACUUUGACAAGAGGAGGACGAUGGAAUGGACAGCAGCUCAGCGCUCCGUGCCCUGUCGGAGCAACUGUCAGAAACAACUGCACUGAGAAGACAGCCGAGCUGUCAGACUGACACAGAAUGCACCCACACAUGCAUACACACUACGCAUGUACAGACAGAGACACUAUAGACAUACGCAUACAGUAUGUUGAAUGCACCCACACACAUAGAGCACGUACCGGUAUCAGGGUGAUCUGGCGGGGCGGCGGCCCGUGCGGUGUGGCUGCUGCAGGCAGAGUGUCUGUCUGUUCCCUGGGAGCUGAAUCAGCGACGGAGAGUUUAGGGAUGCAGAGAGGAGAGGAGGGUCAUGGGAGAUGUUGCUUUUCUCACACCGGAUGGGAGGAAGAGGAUGAGAGGAGGAAAAAAAGACCAAAAAGAACCAAUGCGCCACACAUCCUGAGGUCACCGCAACGCAGGGCCUGUAUCAACCUCCAAAGUACGGAUACAAAAAAAUGAAUGUGUCGAUCCCAUCACAGGGAGACUUCAGAGGCAAAAGGGUUGAGAAGAGAAAAAGUAAGCAAAACAUUUCUAAAACAAUACCCUGUCAGCUGACGAUGCUCUGGAGGAGUGGAUGAAGACAUAAGCAUUGAUUUUGAAAUGAAAAGUGGAAAGGUGGACUUCAGAACGCGACGGACCAUCUCUGGGAGAGAAUGGAAGGGCAGCGUGAUCGGAGUAACCCCCCACCGUCCAGGGGCUUAUAUACCCAGAUGCUGUGAAGCUGUUCCGGUGGAACAUUACUUUAGCUGGCGUCUGAAAUGGCCUAAGAGAUGAAUGCUUUUUCUGCGUUACCAGGUGGCAGGAGAAAAGCAAUGGAUACAGUCUACAGAUCCUCACACACUCAACACUCACUCCACUCCAGCCACUUUUUAAUCUGGGAGAGAAAGCUCUCUCAUCACAGCCAAAGUCUGGUGAUGAAAAAAGAGAGGGAAAAGAGAUGUCUCAAUAGAGGUGGAAGCUUAAAUGGAGGAGUAUGACUAUUAGUUUUGGUAAUGGUACUGGACAGCAUACUGCACGGCCUUGAAUGCCCUGGGGGACGAAGUCAAAGACAUGGCAGAGGCUGUGUACGGAAUGGCACCCUAUCCCCCUUCUUUUGACCAGGGUCCAUAGGGAAUAGGGUGCCGUUUCAGAUGCAGCCAAACAAUACUGUAUGUAUAUGUGUCAAGGUGGAGAAGCCUUGGGAAGCAGCUGGUGCCUGUCGUGCAGAGGUAAAUUAGCCUGGACCACAGAGGUAACGUAGCCUGAACACAAAAUGGACCCUCAGCUAUGUGCUGUUGGCAGGCCGUUCAGUUUCCCCUCUUAACUGGGGGUGUUGUCCGGCCAUUCUGUUCCCCCUCAAAAAAUCUUUGUUUAAAUAUUCCUUAUGCUAUAGUUAUAUUGUACAUAUAUAUAUUUUUUUUUGGAUUGAAUUAUUUUAUCAACUUUUGUAUUGUUUUCGAUAACUGUAAUAUCUGCUGGUGACCCAUGGAAUUGCAGGACUGAUUAUGGCAAGUCAGUUUAAAUUUGGCUUGGCUAGCAAGUUAGCUAGCUUGCUUAUAUGAUUUGAAGGAUGCAGCAUCACCAGAUCAACAGCAUCGGCUUUUUGGUCCCCUGCCCCAGUCUCUAGAGGCAAGUGGGGCUUUUCUGGACCACUGCUGAGGUGUGGUGGUCUUACUGGCGUUUUUACCAUCGCCGAAGCGUCACCCAGGUGGGUGCUACAUUUCAGUAGUGGACGAUCCAGCCUGAUCUACGGAGGAGGAGCUGUGACUAUCGAAGACAAGGAGGCUCCCGAUGAAGAGCUCCUUGGCCUGUCUGUCGGAUAUCUCUACCUCCCUGCCUGGCUGUACCAUCUAUGCUCCCUCCUCUUAAGAUACUUUCAUUCUGAACUGUCUUCACCUAAAGCUGUGGAAGACCCUCGUGCAAGAACUGCCAGAUCCCUACAUUUGCUUUGUUCAAUUGUUUUGUUUUUAAUGAGACUUUGAGAUUCUACUUGGAAUGAAAAGCACUAGAUAAAAUACAUCUAUUAGUAUUAUAAUUUUUAAACAUUGCAGCAGAGGACAGAACAGGCCACAGAGACGGAAAGUUGUUAGUGUUGCCAGACAGGGAGGCCCAUAUACUCAUUCUGGACCAGAUUUGACCCCUUCUGUAAUACUGUAAGGAUAACAAUCCAUUUGGUCUCGGAUCAGUUUUAAUGGUUAUGGGGCACUUAGUUUGGUGGAACCACUAAAAGCGGGUGAUGGUGCCAUUAAGUUCAGGGCCAGCCUAAAUGGCUAUCGCCAUGUAGCACUCACAUCUAUAGCCAUGAAAUGCUUUGAAAGACUUUUCAUGGCUCACAUCAACACCAUCAUCCCAGACACCCUAGACCCACUCCAAUUUGCAUACCGCCCCAACAGAUCCACAGAUGACGCAAUCUCUAUUGCACUCCACACUGCCCUUUCUCACCUGGACAAAAGGAAUACCUAUGUGAGAAUGCUGUUCAUUGACUACAGCUCAGCAUUCAACACCAUUGUCCACGCCAAGCUCAUCCCCAAGCUCAGGACCCUGGGAACACCUCCCCCUGCAACUGUAUCCUGGACUUCCUGACGGGCUGCCCCCAGGCGGUGAGGGUAGGUAACAACACAUCCUUCAUGCUGAACAUCAACACGGGGACCCUCAGGGGUGUGUGCUUAGUCCCCUCCUGUACUCCCUGUUCAUCCACAACUGUGUGGUCGCGCACAACUCCAACACCAUCAUUAAGUUUGCUGAUGACAUGACGGUGGUAAGCUUGAUCACCGGCGACAAUGAGCCUACAGGGAGGAAGUCAGUGACCUGGCAGUGUGGUGUCAGGACAACAACUUCUCCCUCAAUGACAAGCAAGACAAAGGAGCUGACCGUGGGCUACAGGAAACGGAGUGGCGAGCACACCUCAUCCACAUCAUUAGGGCUGUAGUGAAGUGGGUCAAGAGCUUCAAGUUCCUCAGUGUCCACAUCACUAAGGAAUUAACAUGGUCCACACAUACCCACACAGUUUGGAAGAGGACACGACAGGGCCUCUUCCCCCUCAGGAGACUGAAAAGAUUUGGCAUGGGCCCUCAGAUCCUCCAAAAGUUCUACAGCUGCACCAUUGAGAGCAUCUUGACUGGCUGCAUCAACAUUUGGUAUGGCACUUGCAAGGCACCCGACCGCAAGGCGCUACAGGGCGUGGUGAAAAAAGACCAGGUGGUGUCAGAAGAAGGCCC
rnacentral:lncRNA from 1 species